GACGAACGCUGGCGGCGUGCUUAACACAUGCAAGUCGAACGGAAAGGCCUGCUUUCCCUUGUGGAUUGCGGGUACUCGAGUGGCGAACGGGUGAGUAACACGUGAGUUAUCUGCCCCCAACUUGGGUAUAAGCCUGGGAAACUGGGUCUAAUUCCCGAUAGUACUGCAGGGUGGUGCCUGUGGUGGAAAACGAUUUUCUAGUGGUUGGGGAUGAGCUCGCGGCCUAUCAGCUUGUUGGUGGGGUAAUGGCCUACCAAGGCGGCGACGGGUAGCCGGCCUGAGAGGGUGGACGGCCACAUUGGGACUGGGAUACGGCCCAGACUCCUACGGGAGGCAGCAGUGGGGAAUAGUGCACAAUGGGCGGAAGCCUGAUGCAGCGACGCCGCGUGGGGGAUGACGGCCUUCGGGUUGUAAACUCCUUUCGACCGCGAGGAAGCCACCUGGUUGGAAGGGUGGUGACGGUAGUGGUAGAAGAAGCACCGGCUAACUACGUG
rnacentral:rRNA from 1 species